rnacentral:rRNA from 1 species
CGGUGGUCAUAGCGUGAGGGAAACGCCCGGCUACAUUCCGAACCCGGAAGCUAAGCCUCACAGCGCCGAUGGUACUGCAGGGGGGACCCUGUGGGAGAGUAGGACGCCGCC